rnacentral:rRNA from 1 species
UACGGAGGAUCCAAGCGUUAUCCGGAUUUAUUGGGUUUAAAGGGUGCGUAGGCGGGUUAUUAAGUCAGUGGUGAAAGCCUGCAGCUUAACUGCAGAAUUGCCAUUGAUACUGAUGAUCUUGAGUACAGUUGAGGUGGGCGGAAUGUGUCAUGUAGCGGUGAAAUGCUUAGAUAUGACACAGAACACCGAUUGCGAAGGCAGCUCGCUAAGCUGUAACUGACGCUGAGGCACGAAAGCGUGGGGAUCAAACAGG